rnacentral:rRNA from 1 species
GAUGAACGCUGGCGGCGUGCCUAAUACAUGCAAGUCGAGCGAACAGACGAGGAGCUUGCUCCUCUGACGUUAGCGGCGGACGGGUGAGUAACACGUGGAUAACCUACCUAUAAGACUGGGAUAACUUCGGGAAACCGGAGCUAAUACCGGAUAAUAUAUUGAACCGCAUGGUUCAAUAGUGAAAGACGGUUUUGCUGUCACUUAUAGAUGGAUCCGCGCCGCAUUAGCUAGUUGGUAAGGUAACGGCUUACCAAGGCAACGAUGCGUAGCCGACCUGAGAGGGUGAUCGGCCACACUGGAGCUGAGCCACGGUCCAGACUCCUACGGGAGGCAGCAGUAGGGAAUCUUCCGCAAUGGGCGAAAGCCUGACGGAGCAACGCCGCGUGAGUGAUGAAGGUCUUCGGAUCGUAAAACUCUGUUAUUAGGGAAGAACAAAUGUGUAAGUAACUAUGCACGUCUUGACGGUACCUAAUCAGAAAGCCACGGCUAACUACGUG